rnacentral:rRNA from 1 species
GAUCAUGGCUCAGGAUGAACGCUGGCGGCGUGCCUAACACAUGCAAGUCGAGCGAUCUUCUUCGGAAGAGAGCGGCGGACGGGUGAGUAACGCGUGGGUAACCUGCCCUGUACACACGGAUAACAUACCGAAAGGUAUGCUAAUACGGGAUAACGUAAGAGAGUCGCAUGGCUUUCUUAUCAAAGCUCCGGCGGUACAGGAUGGACCCGCGUCUGAUUAGCUAGUUGGUAAGGUAACGGCUUACCAAGG